ACUCCUACGGGAGGCAGCAGUGAGGAAUAUUGGUCAAUGGGCGCAAGCCUGAACCAGCCAUGCCGCGUGCAGGAAGACUGCCCUAUGGGUUGUAAACUGCUUUUAUACAGGAAGAAACACUCCCUCGUGAGGGAGCUUGACGGUACUGUAAGAAUAAGGAUCGGCUAACUCCGUGCCAGCAGCCGCGGUAAUACGGAGGAUCCAAGCGUUAUCCGGAAUCAUUGGGUUUAAAGGGUCCGUAGGUGGAUUAGUAAGUCAGAGGUGAAAUCCUGCAGCUCAACUGUAGAACUGCCUUUGAUACUGCUAGUCUUGAGUCAUUAUGAAGUGGUUAGAAUGUGUAGUGUAGCGGUGAAAUGCAUAGAUAUUACACAGAAUACCGAUUGCGAAGGCAGAUCACUAAUAAUGUACUGACACUGAUGGACGAAAGCGUGGGAGCGAACAGGAUUAGAUACCCGUGGUAGCGACUGA
rnacentral:rRNA from 1 species